rnacentral:misc_RNA from 1 species
AACCUAGCACACCUGCGGUGUGUACCUGCGGAGGGAUCAUUAAUAAAUGUUACUUCGGUAACUUAAUUAAUCCCUAACACCUGUGCAUCUUGUCGCUUCGGCGUCAUUUUAUAAACAUCAGUGUAAUGAAUGUAAAGUAUUAUAACAAAUACAACUUUUAACAACGGAUCU